UACGAACCGUACGAACGUUAUUCGGAAUCACGUGGCUUAAAGGGUGCGUAGGCGGCGCGGAAAGUUGGGUGAUGAAAUCCCUCGGCUCAACCGAGGAAUUGCGCCCAAAACUACCGUGCUUUGAGGGAGACAGGAAGGUGAGCGGAACUGAAGGGUGGAGGCGGAUGAAAUGGUGCGUUGGAUAUCCUUAGGAACACCGGUGGC
rnacentral:rRNA from 1 species